GUGGGUGUAGCUCAGCUGGUAGAGCGCUAGGUUGUGGUCCUGGAUGCCGAGGGUUCGAGUCCCUUCACUCACCCCA
rnacentral:tRNA from 1 species